UAGUCAUAGGUAGCAGAACGUUCUGGAAAAAUAAUGCUGAAAACAGUACCAGAAUUGAAUAUGCCAACAUUAGUAACACCAAAUGGAUAACAUGGCCGAAAGACCAAGGUUUUGCAACAAAACAGUGAAUACGGCUUAAUUUUUAAUAUAUACA
rnacentral:rRNA from 1 species